rnacentral:lncRNA from 1 species
ACUCGCCCAAUGGAUCAGGCGAUCAGUAGGCCUUCUUUUCUUUGUUCUUUCAGCUGCAUUGUUCCUUUUUGCUCGUUAGUGUACAUGCCUUGUUCCUCAAUCCAAAUAUCUAGAAAUCAAGGAUUUUACAUCAGUUAUUGGCACAAAAUAAGCAUUUGAGGACACUAAAUCUAUCAAAAUAAAUCCCUAAAUGAGUCCAAAUCGUGGACUCAUCAAUCCACUAGCUAAUCAACAUAUGGGGG